UCGAUUCCCUUAGUAGCGGCGAGCGAAACGGGAAGAGCCCAAACCAACAAGCUUGCUUGUUGGGGUUGUAGGACACUCUAUACGGAGUUACAAAGGACGACAUUAGACGAAUCAUCUGGAAAGAUGAAUCAAAGAAGGUAAUAAUCCUGUAGUCGAAAAUGUUGUCUCUCUUGAGUGGAUCCUGAGUACGACGGAGCACGUGAAAUUCCGUCGGAAUCUGGGAGGACCAUCUCCUAAGGCUAAAUACUCUCUAGUGACCGAUAGUGAACCAGUACCGUGAGGGAAAGGUGAAAAGCACCCCGGAAGGGGAGUGAAAUAGAACCUGAAACCGUGUGCUUACAAGUAGUCAGAGCCCGUUAAUGGGUGAUGGCGUGCCUUUUGUAGAAUGAACCGGCGAGUUACGAUUUGAUGCAAGGUUAAGCAGUAAAUGUGGAGCCGUAGCGAAAGCGAGUCUGAAUAGGGCGUUUAGUAUUUGGUCGUAGACCCGAAACCAGGUGAUCUACCCUUGGU
rnacentral:rRNA from 1 species